ACCCAGGUGGUUCACCCCGAACUCGAUGCCGAAACCGUCUUCUGUCCGUCCGUCAGCCACCAGACCUGCAGGGCAGGCAGAGAGGAAGCGUUCGGUGAAGCAGCGGACCGACUUCAGACUGGCCAGAUCCAAGUGCAUGAAGAGAACGUCAGUACUUCCUGUUUCCUGGAAGAGAUCAUCAUCAUCAUCAUCAUCAUCAUCAUCUGUUGCAAUAAAGACCGUCGGAGUGAGCGUCUGCGAGUCAGCCGUGUUCGCCCGUACGGAGCGAUGCUGGAAAUUAUACCGUGCUGCAAACAGUCCACCACUUGCUGUAUCCGCCGUAUGGCCCGACCCACAUCGCCAUUCUGAAGCAUUACAAUCGUAUCAGCUUUCCUCGUGGCUCCAUGUAAACCAGGUACCUGGGAGCCCCGCCCCCCGCCGACGGCCGGACUCACCUGUGAUGAUGACGGUCU